rnacentral:rRNA from 1 species
GAGAACGCUGGCGGCGUGCCUAACACAUGCAAGUCGAGCGGGGUUGAAGCGAGAGGUAACUCGAACUUCUACCUAGCGGCGGACGGGUGAGUAACGCGUGGGCAACCUGCCUCAAGGUCUGGGAUAACAGCCCGAAAGGGCUGCUAAUACCGGGUAUGCUUGUGGCCUCGCAUGGGGCUACGAGCAAAGGGGAAACCCGCCUUGAGAUGGGCCCGCGUCCCAUCAGCUAGUUGGUGAGGUAACAGCUCACCAAGGCGACGACGGGUAGCCGGCCUGAGAGGGUGACCGGCCACACUGGGACUGAGACACGGCCCAGACUCCUACGGGGGGCAGCAGUGGGGGAUCUUGCACAAUGGGCGAAAGCCUGAUGCAGCGACGCCGCGUGAGCGAAGAAGGCCUUCGGGUUGUAAAGCUCUGUCUGGAGGGACGAAGGAAGUGACGGUACCUCCGGAGGAAGCCACGGCUAACUACGUG